CUGCUGCCUUCCGUAGGAGUUUGGGCCGUGUCUCAGUCCCAAUGUGGCCGUUCACCCUCUCAGGCCGGCUACUGAUCGUCGCCUUGGUGGGCCGUUACCCCUCCAACCAGCUAAUCAGACGCGGGUCCAUCCUGUACCACCGGAGUUUUUCACACUGUACCAUGCGGUACUGUGCGCUUAUGCGGUUUUAGUCACCUAUUUCUUAAGUGUUAUCCCCUCGUACAGGGCAGGUUACCCACGCGUUACUCACCCGUCCGCCACUAAGAUAAA
rnacentral:rRNA from 1 species